rnacentral:rRNA from 1 species
GAUGAACGCUGGCGGCGUGCCUAAUACAUGCAAGUCGAGCGAACAGAUGAGGAGCUUGCUCCUCUGACGUUAGCGGCGGACGGGUGAGUAACACGUGGAUAACCUACCUAUAAGACUGGGAUAACUUCGGGAAACCGCAGCUAAUACCGGAUAAUAUAUUGAACCGCAUGGUUCAAUAGUGAAAGACGGUUUUGCUGUCACUUAUAGAUGGAUCCGCGCCGCAUUAGCUAGUUGGUAAGGUAACGGCUUACCAAGGCGACGAUGCGUAGCCGACCUGAGAGGGUGAUCGGCCACACUGGAACUGAGACACGGUCCAGACUCCUACGGGAGGCAGCAGUAGGGAAUCUUCCGCAAUGGGCGAAAGCCUGACGGAGCAACGCCGCGUGAGUGAUGAAGGUCUUCGGAUCGUAAAACUCUGUUAUUAGGGAAGAACAAAUGUGUAAGUAACUAUGCACGUCUUGACGGUACCUAAUCAGAAAGCCACGGCUAACUACGUG